rnacentral:rRNA from 1 species
GGACCCGCACAAGCGGUGGAGCAUGUGGUUUAAUUCGAUGCAACGCGAAAAACCUUACCUACUCUUGACAUACUUGGGAGCUCUUGUAAUGAGAGUGUGCCUUUUGGAACCAAGAUACAGGUGCUGCAUGGCUGUCGUCAGCUCGUGUCGUGAGAUGUUCCGUUAAGUCGGAUAACGAGCGCAACCCUUACCCUUAUUUGCCAGCGAUUCGGUCGGGAACUAUAAGGGAACUGCCGGUAAUAAGCCGGAGGAAGGUGGGGACGACGUCAAGUCAUCAUGGCCCUUACGUGUAGGGCUACACACGUGCUACAAUGGGAGAUACAGACGGUUGCUAAAGCGCGAGCUGGAGCCAA